rnacentral:rRNA from 1 species
UGGGGAAUAUUGGACAAUGGGCGCAAGCCUGAUCCAGCAAUGCCGCGUGUGUGAAGAGGGCCUUCGGGUUGUAAAGCACUUUAAGCAGGGAAGAAAAAACUUUACCUAAUACGUGAAGUCUUGACGGUACCUGAAGAAUAAGCACCGGCUAACUCUGUGCCAGCAGCCGCGGUAAUACAGAGGGUGCGAGCGUUAAUCGGAUUUACUGGGCGUAAAGCGUGUGUAGGUGGUUGUUCAAGUCGGUUGUGAAAUCCCCGGGCUCAACCUGGGAACUGCUUCCGAGACUGAGCGACUAGAGUACGGUAGAGGGCGGUGGAAUUUCCGGUGUAGCGGUGAAAUGCGUAGAUAUCGGAAGGAACACCAAUGGCGAAGGCAGCCGCCUGGGCCUGUACUGACACUGAGACACGAAAGCGUGGGGAUCAAACAGGAUUAGAUACC